rnacentral:rRNA from 1 species
UACGAAGGGGGCUAGCGUUGUUCGGAUUUACUGGGCGUAAAGCGCACGUAGGCGGAUUGUUAAGUCGGGGGUGAAAUCCUGGAGCUCAACUCCAGAACUGCCUUCGAUACUGGCAAUCUCGAGUCCGGAAGAGGUGAGUGGAACUCCUAGUGUAGAGGUGGAAUUCGUAGAUAUUAGGAAGAACACCAGUGGCGAAGGCGGCUCACUGGUCCGGUACUGACGCUGAGGUGCGAAAGCGUGGGGAGCAAACAGG